rnacentral:tRNA from 1 species
CCCUGAUAGUUCAGUUGGUAAAGAAUUUGCCUGCAAAGCAGGAGACCCAGGUUCCAUUCCUGGGUCGGGAA